AUUCUUCCUUUGGUAGCAUAUGCACUAAAACUGGAACAAUACAGAGAAGAUUAUUGUGGCCUCUGUGCAGUUAUGGCACACACAUUCAUGAAGCAUUACAUAUUUUC
rfam:Ictidomys tridecemlineatus contig094277, whole genome shotgun sequence.